rnacentral:lncRNA from 1 species
UAAUUUUUAAACUAGAGGCUCUAAAGAGCCUGUGUCGCUCACCUUGGUCUUGUGCAUAUUAAACAAUGGACACGGAUAAAUUCAUGACAUAAUUGUGUUUUGGUGAUAGUGAUGUGUUUGUAGAUCUUAUUUUACUGAACAUUCUUGUUGCUACAAUUAUCUCUAUCUAUAAUGAACUUGGCCCAGUAAUUACAGUGGAAAAUAUUUUCUAAAAAUUUACAAAAAUUUAUGAAAUUUUUUUAAAA